AUUGAACGCUGGCGGCAUGCUUUACACAUGCAAGUCGAACGGCAGCGCGGGCUUCGGCCUGGCGGCGAGUGGCGAACGGGUGAGUAAUACAUCGGAACGUGCCCAGUGGUGGGGGAUAGCUCGGCGAAAGCCGGAUUAAUACCGCAUACGACCUGAGGGUGAAAGCGGGGGAUCUUCGGACCUCGCGCUAUUGGAGCGGCCGAUGGCAGAUUAGCUAGUUGGUGGGGUAAAGGCCUACCAAGGCGACGAUCUGUAGCUGGUCUGAGAGGACGACCAGCCACACUGGGACUGAGACACGGCCCAGACUCCUACGGGAGGCAGCAGUGGGGAAUUUUGGACAAUGGGCGAAAGCCUGAUCCAGCAAUGCCGCGUGUGUGAUGAAGGCCUUCGGGUUGUAAAGCACUUUUGGCGGGAACGAAAAGGACUGUGCCAAUACCACGGUUCGAUGACGGUACCCGCAGAAUAAGCACCGGCUAACUACGUG
rnacentral:rRNA from 1 species